UACGUAGGGGGCAAGCGUUGUCCGGAAUCAUUGGGCGUAAAGAGCGUGUAGGCGGCCUGGUAAGUCCGCUGUGAAAGUCCAGGGCUCAACCCUGGAAUGCCGGUGGAAACUGUCAGGCUCGAGUCCGGAAGAGGCGAGUGGAAUUCCUGGUGUAGCGGUGAAAUGCGCAGAUAUCAGGAGGAACACCGGUGGCGAAGGCGGAUCUCUGGGCCUGACCUGACGCUGAGGAGCGAAAGCGUGGGGAGCGAACAGG
rnacentral:rRNA from 1 species